rnacentral:rRNA from 1 species
AGCCUGAUGCAGCGACGCCGCGUGAGGGAUGGAGGCCUUCGGGUUGUAAACCUCUUUCGCCAGUGAAGCAGGCCUGUCCCUUGUGGGUGGGUUGACGGUAGCUGGAUAAGAAGCGCCGGCUAACUACGUGCCAGCAGCCGCGGUAAUACGUAGGGCGCGAGCGUUGUCCGGAAUUAUUGGGCGUAAAGAGCUCGUAGGCGGCUGGUCGCGUCUGUCGUGAAAUCCUCUGGCUUAACUGGGGGCUUGCGGUGGGUACGGGCCGGCUUGAGUGCGGUAGGGGAGACUGGAACUCCUGGUGUAGCGGUGGAAUGCGCAGAUAUCAGGAAGAACACCGGUGGCGAAGGCGGGUCUCUGGGCCGUUACUGACGCUGAGGAGCGAAAGCGUGGGGAGCGAACAGGAUUAGAUACCCUGGUAGUCCACGCCGUAAACGUUGGGCACUAGGUGUGGGGGGCCUUUUCCGGGUCUUCCGCGCCGUAGCUAACGCAUUAAGUGCCCCGCCUGGGGAGUACGGCCGCAAGGCUAAAACUCAAAGGAAUUGACGGGGGCCCGCACAAGCGGCGGAGCAUGCGGAUUAAUUCGAUGCAACGCGAAGAACCUUACCAAGGCUUGACAUGUGCCGGUCGGCUCCGGAGACGGGUUUCCUCGUGUUGGGCCGGU